AAAGGACUGAGACCUCCCAUUCCUUGCUGUAAUGCUUCUUACAGGAGCCUCAGCAGAAUGUGGGAAAGUGUUUGCUCUGUUGUUCUGUGAGAGCAACGAAAGGCUUAGGGAAACUGCUGAGCACCUGGGAAGUGAGGUUUGAAGGAAGAGGAGGCACCUUGGAACUUCUCCCUUGGGUCCAUCCUGGCGCAGGAGCCCUGCUCUGAAACCUGAUCCUGCUGGAUGGGUUCCAGCCGGCCGAGAACACCCCUCGGGCUGCGUCCGCGGCUUUCGAGGAGCCUCCCUCCUUCUGAGAGAACAAUGUCAGCGUGGCUGCCGGCCAGAGAGCAUCCCAGAGCAUCCCAGAGCAUCCCAGAGAGGGGAGGUGAUCACCAGAGGGUGUGGAGGUGGGGGACAGAAGUCACCGCUGUCCAUGGAAAGGGCAGAGGGUCGCGGGGAGACAAAACGCUGCCUGGCUUGGGAGGGAGCUGCUCACAACGUGUGGCAUGGGGACACUCAAGUGUCGGCCCGGUGCGUUAGAGUGAGCCCCGGAUUGUCACCAGGAGGUGACGCCUGGCAGAAGUGAAACGAAGUGGGUGCGUAUGUGAUAUAAAACGAACAGAACUGCCGAUUGGAAGGCGCCGUUUCUAAAAGAGCGGAAAUCAAAUUGACACCGUAAUGCUCUCGAAGGCAUUUUAAUACAGUCGGACACAUCUUAAGCAUUUCCAGACGUUCUUAAAAAAAAAAAAAAAAAGGGUAUGGGGAGGGGGGGGGGGGCUGGAGGGGAAACGAUGCAGACAAAGCGGUAUUGAAACCUAAAAAUAGAAUGGCAGGGCCAGAUUUAAAUCAGGUUCACCUCGCUGGACUCAAGGACUGUGCAGCUCCAGAGAUCGCUGCCGGGGUGAGGGCUCGGGGCUGCCCGGCACACAGCCACUGCCCGCCCCGCAGCCCGGGGUUGCUGCUCGUCCUGCGGUGCCGGAGCCAUGGAGUUGUGCCAUUUGGCAGCAUCUCCCUCCCUGCCAAGAGGGGUGCGUUGCUUUCCUUAGGGAUGGAGGUGAGGGCAAUCGUGGGAUUCGCAGCAAAAGCUGCUCGUAAGGGGUCCAAGCACUGAAAUCCAGAAAAAUCACCGGGGUUCUGUUUGUUUAACAUUAAUGAUUCAAGGAGGGGGUGGGAGUACGUCUCAUGGAGCUAAAACCAGAUGUGAGACUUCGUAGCCACAAAGCUUUCUGGUUCCCCUCUGUUUGCUUUUCCCUCGGGAAGAUGAAAGCAACGGCAGGGAGGGAAGGCUCUGAUGGCAGCAGCUCUCUGCCUUCACCCUCGCUGCGGGGAUCCCUCUGGAUGCUGCUCCACAACCACAAGGGAGCUGCUUGGAUGCGCGUGCUGCUGCGGUGGAGGUGGGUGCGCUCCAGCUGGGACGCAGCCACAGCUUCCACCCAGGGUUGAUGUGUGCUGGAGCUGAUCGCUCGCCCUUUGCAGGUCAGGACCCCGCUCCGUUUUGCACCAGGAGCACCGAGGAGGGCUGGGCUCACGGUCUGAGGGAAGCCCUGCGAGAGCUGCCUUCCCCUCAGGCCUCCUCCUACAAAUCUUUCCACGCUGCAAACAGAAAUUUGCAAAUCUAGGCCAAGCAUUCCCUGCUCCUAUUUCACCACCCAUGCUGUCGGAGGACGGUUGUGCUGUGUGCUAUGGAGACGCAGCACCUCAGGAUAAACCUGGACCGCUCUGCUCCGUGCUCAUGCGGCCCAGUGGGGUCCUCUUCUAUACCUGGACCAUUACCCUGGGACUAAUUAAAAUAAUUAACAAGUGUAAUUAACUGUUGAGAGUUUUAGCACAUUAUAUCAGCAACAAUUAAAUAAAUUGCCCGUUUUGUCUUGCAAAGAAAAGACAGAGAGGGGAACAAGGAGGAGGGAGGUGGAGAGACUGAUGCUGUGGCACGGGGAAGUGAAUAGGGGUCGGUGGCUCUUGUGUUGGAAGACAAAGCAGACAAAGCUGUGCCCCAUGGAAUUACCGAGUGGCAGAUGCAGAUCGGCCACAUUUCCCGCAGCGUGUAAUUAAGCUGAGGAGCUCAUUGCCCAAAUGAAUCCCCAGAUCCGGGGGGCACGGAGUGCUGGGGGCCCUGUGUUGUCCCCAGGUCCCUGCUGCCUGCUCCUGCUGUGCAUUCGGUGCCACAACACCGCGGUGGCUGCUCCGCAGAGUUAGGGGACGCGUCCCAGCCAUGUUCCAGCACUGCUCAGCCUGGCUCCAGCCUCCAGCACGGAGCCUUGGGGUUCGCCUCUCCUCACCAUCAGUGACCCCGGGCUGCAUUUUGGGCAGCACAGGAGCCCAGCGGGAUAGAGCAGAACCCACGUGCAGGUGCCCCUCUGCCCAAGGGACAGGGACAGCGGCUGAGCCAAUCCUGAGGUGAGGGGAGCAAGUAGGUGCCCUGCUUUGCUUUGUGCACCUUGCUGAAAUGCGUGAGCCCAAAGGGAAAGAAACAGCAGAAAUCCAAGCAAAUAAGGAAGAGAUCCAAGCAAAUACGAGGCCCAUCACAGUCAGUGGAGGUCCCUCUGCAGGCUGAACACAGGGAGGGCUCCAUCCCCACCUAUUUCUGCUCCAAGCAUGCCAGCGCGACUCAGCUGCCUUUCCUGAUUGAAAUCUAACACCUUUUAUACGGUUCACGUCUCAUAACUCGGGGGGGGGGGUUAAAGAAAAAUUAAUUCCUUGGACUUUGGCACCAGCGGGCAGCGGUCGGGGCAGAAGCUGUUCUCCUGCCUUGCAGAGCCACGCUCCCCCCCAGCAUCUCCCGUCAGCAUCUUCCUUCAGCCCAUUUGUUUUAGGGGAACACAAAAGCUCUGCUUUCUGCCCGUUUUCCCCCCCGUGCCGCCCGGUGCCCCCACACAGCCCCAGUGCCCACGGCCUCCCGCUGCCAUCUGCAUGACAAAGCCCACUGCUCCGCGCCUUUUGGGGAUUGCCCGCACCACAAACCUUAUGGGCUUCAUCAAUAGCUCGGAUGAUUUUAGGGUCUAGGUUUUUAUUCACUACAGCGUUGGCUGACAAAGCCCAUUACAUCAUCUGUUUGGAAGAGAAAUUCUCUGCAGCUGCUUGUGUGGCACAGGGGGGUUUGCUGGAAAAAAUAAGGCAGAUUUUUUUUUUCCGUUUGGUUUUGUUUCAUUCUUUCAGGGCAAUUUUCCUUCAAAUUGCUGGAAAACUGCACGUUAAAAAGGCUUCCAAAGUGGAAAGGAAAAGGGCAGAGCGCAGCAGCUUUAAGCAUUCUUUUUUUUUUUUGCUUUUUUUCAUUUCCCUUCCAAAAAGCCGGGGGGAGGGCAGCCCCCGCUCAGGGCCGUGUGUGGGGCUGGGGUGUGGGGACAGCGGGGUGCCCCGUCCUGUCCCAUUGCUGCUGGGAAGUCCUCCUGGCUCAGCACCGGUGUGAGCAGAGGAAUCCCUCCUGAGCUCAAAAGAGGCUGAAGUUGUAGCUUGGGUUGCUGUUGGAAUGGCUGCUAAGCUCGAAAGAAAGGUUUAUAAUUCAUAGGGUAACACAGCGCACGGCGCUAUGGAAAACAGCUCUUCACUCACUGCAAUUAAGAGUGAGAAAACCCCAUAACUGCAGAUAAAAAUCCGUUAUUAUAGAUGAGUGUGACAGACCACUGCGUUUCCCCAUCAGGUGAGCAGCACGGAUGGGCCGAGCCUCGUUAGCACAGGGCUUUCACAAGUGGGUUCUGAGACAUUUAAACUGUAUCCAGGAAAAGAUGGGUCCUAAAUGCACCGCAGGUGUCACUGCCGAAUGUGUCCUUGGGGGUAAUCCGGAUGUGCUGAGGAGCACGGAGGCGCAGCGCUGACACAGCACGGUGGGGGUGGGCUGGAGGUCCCAACCUGAAUGAGUGGAUGGCUGAGCGAUGGGAAUGCUGCCGGGUUGUGGCAGCCUCGGCAAUGGGGAGAAGGUGUGGGGGACGGGGGGUGAUCCGGGUCUGGGAGUUUCUUUUAGCAGCAGAGAUUGGCUCACGUUCAGUUCAUGUUUUAUCUCGGAUAGGAAUUGAUUUUUUUUUAAUAGGUCGAGAGUUCAGGAAAGCUAAAAUAAUAAUAAUAAUAAUAAUAAUAAUAUAAACCAGGAUCUGUCUUUUUCUGCUCCCUGAAUACAUAGGGCUGCUUUCCGGCACACAUUUCAUUUUCAGGUGAGUUCCUUUGUUGCCAUAGCAAUAUUACUCGUGUUUGGAAAGCCGCAGCUUUGGUUUUCUCCCAGGCCAUGCUGUCACACGCAGGCAGCACCCCGAGCCCAGCACAGAGCCGCACUGAGCUGCGCCGCAGCACGGAGGCAGAGGGGAGGGCCAUGGGGGAGCGCAGGGCUCCCACCCAAAGAUGCUCCUCUCUUCUCACCCUUCCACCCACACCUCACAGCGCGGCUUUGCAGUCAGGUCAAAGGAAACCCGGUGGCUUUGCUAAUUAGCACUUAUUAACGACGCUUCUCUGGCUGUGCCCGCAGCUCUCCCUCCAGGCACUGGCGCACGUGCAGCAACAAAACCCGUGUGCGCCCCAGAGAGCUCAGAAUCCCGUAAAUCCCAUUUGCUGCCACACAGGUGUCUCAUUUCCUCGCUCCGCAGAUCCCGGGCCCAGUGAAUUUAUUUUAUUACUCUGCUGAAGUAAAGGCUUUAAAUACUGCGGGACGUGCAUGACGGGGGUCUGUAACAGCAUUAAGAAAGGCACGAGGAAAAGGGAUUCCCCCGUAAGGGAACGGUUCUGUGGUCAUUUGGGUAAUAUGUAUUCUGUACAUGUGCCAGGAAUUAAGAUUUGAUUUUAAGUAUUUAUAUAUUAAAUAUUUAAUCUAGUCACAUCUAGUCGUUUGAUCCGGGCAGGUGGGAUCGCUGGGCUGACAUUGACGGGAUGAGCUUCAACAUGACCAAGCGCCGGGUCCUGCAGUUAGGCCGAGCAGCUGGAAGGCUGUGUGGGAGAAAUGGACCUGGAGGUGCCGGUCAGAGCUCAGCUGAACAUCAGUCAGCAGUGUGUCCAGGUGGCCAAGAAGGCCAAUGGCAUCCUGGCUUGUAUCAGAAAUGGUGCAGCCAGCAGGAGCAGGGAAGUAAUCAUCCCGUUGUGCUCAGGACUGCUGAGGUGGCACCUUGAGUGCUGUGUUCAGUUUUGGGUCCCUCACUACAAGAAAGACAUCGACGCGCUGGAGUGUGUCCAGAGAAGGGCAGUGGAACUGUGAACGGUGUGGAGCACAGAUCUUAUGGGAACUGAAGGAACUGGGAUUGUUCUGUGUGGAGGAGGCUCAGGGGAGACCUUACUGAUCACUACAGCUGCCUGACAGGAGGUUGUGGAGGGUGCAGGUUGGCCCCUUCUCCCCAGUAGCAGUGACAGCACAAUAGGUACCAGCCUUAAGUUGCACCAGGGGAGGUUCAGGUGGGAAAUUAGGACAAAUUUCUUCACCAAAAGAGUGGUGAGGCACUGCAAUGGGCUGCCCAGGGGUGGGGUGGAGUCACCAUCCCUGGAGGUGUUCAAGAACCAUUUAGAUGUUGUACUCAGGGACAUGGUUUAGUGGGGAAAUACGUGGUCAGUGGACAGUUGGACUAGAUGAUCUUGGAGGUCUUUUCCAACCUUGGUGAUUCUAUGAUUCACGCCAUUAAGUUAUUAAAAUACUUAAUGUUAAAUUCAAUUUUUUUCUGUACUUCUUUUAAUUAAAGCAGGCACAGAGGGCCACGCAUUAACCUAAAACCCACUCCGUGAUGCCACAUCAUAGCUAUGGCUGCGUGCUGGGAGGCUGUUCUGCUGCACCACCAUAAGCUGUUCACGUAGAUCACGUUUAAAGGCUGUUUUUGCUUGCUUUGUUUGUUUGUUUGCUUUUGUUUUUUAAUUCUGAAUAAGCCCCGUUCGGAUUAACAAGCAGAGGCUGCGUGCACACAGCAGACCCGUGGGUGCUGCAAGCCUUGCUGCGAUGCAGGCAGCAGAUGACAGCUGCAGGGCUGUGCGGCUACAGGGCUGCGGGGAUGAUGCAGGCAGAGCAGCGGGCAGCAGUGCUGGGGGCACACAGCCCUGUGACGUUGCCUUUCUGUGGGGGAAUGCCACCGGCGCAGUCAUUCCGGCAGCAUUAGGGCUGUGGUGGCUCCCAGGAUUACCCACGCACAGCCCUCCCAUCGCCGGCAGAAUCGCUGUGCCCAAACACAAUAGGAGCCUGGAAGAAAGCAACGGCCUCGACAAUGAGUUUCUCUGCUUUUAUAGGUUUUAGUGGAGCCCAUUGUGCUGUUUUAACACCCUUUUUUGUAUUUCGAUUCCUAAUAUCUUUGACUGGGGGAAGGGUGGAGAGGGCACCGAUUUAAUUCGAUAAUCCCCCUAAGCCUUGCUUAAUGCACUCACUCUAUUUUGUGCCUGUGAAUUUUAUAGUGGUAUUUGGGGUGGUUGCAGCACUGCACUGGAAUACGUCCCACCAUUUAUUUUUGCAGCCAUUGGAGGGAAAUGGCUCGCAGUGCUGAGCAGCCUAUUCACUGCGCUCACAUUGUCAAACCCAACAAACCGUCAGCCCAGAUGUGGUCGGAUCCCGGGGCUGCAGCAGGGAUGUGGGGAAAGGAGUUCAGAGUCCGCUGCAAAUUGCUCAAAUGAAUAUCUAACCAUGAGCAGAAGGCUUCCUCCCUCUGCCAAAAUUCUGAGCUGGAUUUGGGCUGUGAGGACAGCUCAUGGCUCCUUCUGAAGGGUCCCAAGACAGACAAGUCUUUGGGCUCCCAAAACUUCAUGGCUGUGCCAUGAGCAAUUUGCUCCUAGCAGGAACAUGAGGUGGUGCUGAGCCAUCCUGGGAGCAUCUCAGAAGGCUACAGCAGAGACAAAAAGUGCCAACGUAAGGGUCAGAAUGUCUGGGGCAGCUGGCAUGCAGCAGCAACAAAGCUAAGAUGAGAAGAAGGGGUUUGGAAGAGGUCAGGAUCAGAAAGACGGUGUCUGUAGGGAACCGGGUCAUCCAAAGAGGAGAAAAGAACAAAGGAAGAAAAAAUAUUAAGAGGCUGAGAUCUACCACACUGACAGGAGAUCUACACACUGACAGAGAAGACAGGAAGGUGUCCACAGACAUCUCAGAGAGAGGAGGAGACCUCAGCAGGAACACGGCAGGGCUCCUGUAGUUUAGCAAACUGCCCAAGAAUGUGCAGAAUAAGAAGCUUUUUUCACCUAUAGCCUGUGCAACUGCCUUCCUCAUUUCUUACAGCCCAGCAGUAAGGAUGUAAUGCCUCAUGAAAAUAAAUAUGGAUGGCUGGAAUUGUGUCUGUAAGGCUCCCAUUUGCCUUUCACAGCCUCAGCCCACAUCUUUCAGCCUUCCAUGCAAUUUCUCAUCAAACACCAGGACAGUACUCAGCCGCACAGAGCUCAUGGAUCUCAUAAACUCUACAGAAAAGCUUUCUUUAUUGGCAUAAAAGACACAACAGGGUAAGUAUUUGGAGGUGUUGAAAAACACUUCACCAGACAUUAAAUAAUAUUAUUUAUUCUAUCAAGAAAAGCUCUAAGGGACAUCCCAAAAAUGUGAGCCGUCUUCCAAUGGAGAUAAGAAAGAGAACACACGUACCAGCAAGCUGUUUCUAAAGCUCUGAUCAGUUGAGGCAAGAAAAAAAAGAAGUUGAUGGUGGGAGAUUGUGCAAAUUGAACUCCUGAGGAUAUUAAAAAAAAAAGAGUAUUUCCAAAGAUAAGAAGCUGGAAGGCUAUAAAAGAAUGUAUCCAUCCACUAAAUGAUGGGAGUUCAAGAGCUAAAUGAAACAGUUGCCCAGGGAGGUGGUGGAGUCACCAUCCACGGAGGUGUUCUACAACUGUAGGGAUGUAGCACUGAGGGAAAUGGUUAUGGGCAUGGUGGAGGUGGGAUGGGGUUGGUUGGACUCGGGGAUCUUAGUGGUCCUUUCCAACCUUAAUGGUUCUAUGAUUCUACAAUUCGAUGUGGAUCACUGUUUCCUACAGAGGAAUGGAUGGAGGUUUCCAAAUCAAAGCCCUUCUUCAAGAGGGAUGAGAUUGAGAAAUUUUCUCACAAUGAAGAUCAGCAGAGAAGACUUUAAGCUGAAUAAAUAAAAUUAAUGGCAACCAAAUUCCAGUAUGGGAUGGCAUUGACCAAAAGUCCUAGAGAAGGGCUCAGGCAUGAAUUACCCGAUUGCCUGACUGGUUUCAAGCUCAUUGGCCAGAGCAGGCCUGAUACUGAAGGAAUGGAACAAAAAAAUGGAACUAAACAAAGAUAAUGCAAAAUAAUGGCAAUGGAAGCUACAGAUAAGUAGAAAUGGGCUCUGAGCUAUGACAAUUUAAUGAGGAGAUGCUGGCUUCAUUAUGCUGAUCGCUCUGUAGUGCCUCACACGAUGCUCAGAGAUAGUCAAAGGCAAACAGGAGGGAAUGGGGAACAAAUAAAAACAAGUGUUGUGAUGCCAGUGGACAAUCAGCAGUUUCAGUCCUCCCAUCUCAAAAUGGGCACAGCAGUGUGAGAAAAGGUGGAGGACAACAGAAGGGAGUUGGGCUUGGAGCUGCCCUGUGUGUGAGUAGGGUUGGGCUUUGCUGUUUGGAGGGGACACCCAAAAGGGGAUGUGGUGCAGGCCCCCAACCAGCAGCUUUAGAAACUCUUACUGCUGUGGGCAAACUUAUUCAAGGCAGUUUUCUAAUUCAUCACCUUGUGUGCUAAUUUAUAUUUAAUUUUUAUUUCUAUAAAACUGUACUCAAAGGGUGUUAAUGAGCUUAUUAAUAAUGUUUACACGUUAUGGAUAUUGAUAAAUAUAUUCAGAAAAUUAAUGGAUAUUUUUAAUUAAAUAAAACCAGCACUUUAAAAAACUCUUAGCAACUUGGUGGGGUCCCUCACAAAAAUACGCAUUACUUCUGUAAAACCAAAUUAAAAUGCAAUAAUUCUGACAACCUAGAAGAGAAAGGAUAGAGGGGUCUAAGCGACACGCUUGGUGGAUGGAGUGACAGCAGCAUUUGCAUUCCCAGCUCUGCGGGGACAGACAUGAUGAAUUCUGAGCCACGCAGGCAGACACAGUGUGCCCAGACUGACUGCAAAGCUAUGGGCACCCCAGCAGGAAAAGCUGAAGAUGCAGGAUCAGGCCCUGCAAAUUAAACAGACAAACAAACAAAAACCCACAGUCCAUAACAGGGUUCAGCAAGAUGUGAAGUUGUUGAAUUAUCUCAGCCGGGCAACGUCAGGUAGCAUUUCUGAGGAGAGCCCUUUGUGCACAUCGUCCCCGGAGCGAGCAGAGCAGGAGCCAUUUGCAUGAGCACUGCGCUGAGCAGCUGCAGAACGCUGGGCGCAGAGGGCUCGCACCAACCCACGCUCCUGGUGAGGCAGGAUCCCAUCCAGAGCUACAGAUGUGGGCACUGCCACUGCAACAGCACCAAUGAGGAGAGCUGCCUCGUCACUUGCAGCUAUAGGUAAUUCUCCUGCUUAGAGAACUUGAUGAGUUAUAGGCACCUUCAGGGGUAGUGCUGAGAUUCAGUGAUGCUGUGGCAGAUUGCACCGUGCUGGCAUUAUUCACCUGGUUCUUCUGUUUACAGUGCUAUGGGCACAUCGGCACGCAGGCUGCUGCGUGUUUUUGUAUGCAUUCCAUCCAUAUUUGAAAUUUUGCAUUUAUUUGUAUGUAAAACAGAGACACAAAUGUUUACAGGAUGUUCAGAGAGAAUUAAUUUGUUUGAAAAUGAAGCAAAUAGAAGUUACACGAUGGUAUGGGUGAUGUACGUACCUCCCAGCAGAGCAGCAGCUAAAUGCAGUUAAUGGCUGCCAUAAGAGAUAUGAGAUAUGGGUCGGUCGGCAGAAUAACAGCUGAUCCUGUUCCAGACAGGUGGCAUCUUGUGUGCUAGCAAAUGGAUCUGCAGCUUCACCAGAGGAAGAGACACCACAUUUACAUGACACGGAACAAAUCUCUGAACUCAGACGAACUAUUUUAAGAUGGAAUUUAGAAACAAAGGAGAGUGUUGCCCUGACCGUUUCCCAACAGCCUUUCCUGUGGGAUAGAGCUACACGGAACUCUCGGUUAUGGAGCACCACCCAGAGGGCAGAGCGGAGGGAUGCAGAAGUGAGAUGAUCGGGUACGUAAAAAUAGCAGAGAUCCUACAGCAGAUCUUACAUAACCACCAGCAGGUACCGGAUUGUUAUUUAACAGAUGUCGUCAAGAGAAAAAACUGUGAAAAGGAGAUUGCUUUGUCAAGAGAGGAUGUUUAUGGGCACAGAGGACCUCUGCACGCAAGCAAAUGUGUCUGUUUUGUUAAUGAUUUAGCACCUCUUAUUUACUCAAACAAACUACAAUGCCAAAAUUUCAUUUUGAGGUUACUGCAUUUUGAUACCAUCUUAAAGUAAGCUUUGGCUUUUCAAUACCUGUAUUUGGUUUCAGCUGUAUAGUACAAAGCAGCAGUUCUGAAACCGCUUCUAAAUAGCACUUAUUUUUGUAUCAGUUACAGAAAAACUUGGAUUUCAUUUCAGGAACAAUGAGUGUCCUUGUGUCUCACCUGGAUGCACAAGGAAAGGCCCGAGAUUAGCAGAAAGCAUAUAAAAAAAUGGAUGAUAGUUAGUCAAAAAUGUAAAAAAAAAUGCUUAACCUCCUGUAGUCUAAAUCCAAAGGGAUUCGGACACAUGCAUUCCCAUAUACAUUUACUGGAGAGGAAAGGUACAGUCCAAGUACCACCCAGCACACCCACAUGGUUCUAACCUCAACUUUCUGAUUUGCAGCUGUGCUGUAUUACUGUCUCCCCAGGCAUGUCCUGACACUAUGCUAAAGCUAGAGAACAGACAGCAGAAUUUGACUCAUCCAGAAUAUAUAGUAAUAAAUACAAUAAGAGAGACACGCAUUUGGUGUUACAAGCCAAAUAAGGAGAAGAUAAUUGAAUUUAGCAGUGAAAUUAAAGAGAGGUAAAUCCUGUUUACUUGCAUGUCCUCUCAACUACAGCAUUACAGUGAGAGGGGACAGACAAAAGCUGGAACAUGGGAAGUCCAGAUAAGGAAACGAUUUUGGACUACAAGGAUGGUCAGACUGGAAGGGGUUGGGUUGCCCAGAGAGGUUGCCCAACCUUCCUUCCUUCGAGGUGUUCAGACUUGUUUGGUCAAAUGCAACAUUUUAGGCCUGCUCUGUGCAGGACGGGGACUGGGUCACCUCUGGAGGUCUCCCCCAAGAAAAGCAAAACCCUCUCUUUUUUGAGAGGUUUUUGCAAUAUCAAAUGGGCAGAAGCAAUGGGCGGUUGAGUCAAGAGUUGCCAAAGCCAAGCUUUUCAGAGGGUUAAAUGCACUAACUUAAUCAUACCUAUUUAAUAUUAAGAGUGGUUUUGGUAAGUUAAUUGUACAACGGCACAAGUAUGAGGCAUUUUUUCUGAGAUUUUUUCCCUGCAGGUUCUCACUUGGAGUAAGAUGCACAUACAGAGAUGCUAUGCUGCAGAACAAGGGUGCUUAUUAGCACCAAGCAAUAUCAGUAAGAGGGCAGAAAGGCAGAACUGAGUCUGUGAAAGUAUGAAAAAUGCACAUGCAUGCAGGAAAUCAAAAUCUCCUGGACCAGCUUCACCUAUGACCCAUAUGUGGAACCUCAACAAGAUCUCUUCCACCAUGAUAUUUGUCACAAUUUCCCCCCCUACAUGUUCAGCACUCGUUACCCACCCUUUCAGGCCUUCUACAGAUCUGAACGCUUUGUGAUGAUCUGCGCUCUGUCUGGGAAGGGCACAUGAGGGAGAGGGAGGUGAUCCUGCAGCAUUUGACAAGUUUGGCCACAGCAGAAUGAGAUUGAUUUUAUUCUAUGGGACAAUGUGUAGAUUAAAGUUUCAUCUAAAGAUUUCCACUCAAAAUGCUUCAAAGGCAUUCCUUUAUUAUUAUUACUAUUACUACUACUAUUACUAUUAUUUAAAAAGAGCAAGCAUGGAAAGAAACUCUCAGUGUAGCUUCUUCCUCAAAGCAUCUCUGCUUCUGAGUACAUCUGUUGUUCACCAGCAAAGACUGUUGCAUCACUACGUUCCUCUCCAGCACUAAGUGCCACUGCUGCUGUUGGCAUUUAUAUAACAGAAUUCUGCUUUGGAGAAACAUGAAUAAGCACUAGCAUCAAAUCUGGCUUUCACUAGGAGAUUUACUACUGCUGUCCAGCGUGAUACUUCUUGGAUGCAGAGGAUCCAGAAAGAGAUGAGUCAUGGAGCUGCAGAUCUGUGUGCAGCUGCAGUGUGCUGUGACACGGAGCUCCCAGGGAAUGAAAGGUGCACCUGAAGAUGGGCGUUACUCACCAGGAAGAUGAUUCCUUAAGGGGAGAGCUCAAGAGAAGCAGGAAGAGCUAUUGAUCGCAAUGUUUUGAGCAACCCUAGGGGAUCAUAGAGCAACUGAGAGAAUGUUAACGAUAUGAAGCUGUGGAGCCACAGGAUCAGCAACACAGGAAGAAGGCUGGGGGUCACUGCAGAGAUGGAAAUCCCAGCCCUAAUUGCUCUGAAGGAGCCUGGCGAAGGGAAGCUAUCCAAUGGCUGCUCUGGGCACAACUAAUGAGCUGUUUGUGUUCUGAAUGCAGGCUGUGGUCUGUACACCCAUACUCUGCAGCACAUAGCUAACAAAUAGCUGCGUAGUUACUAAUGUGCUCCUUUCUUGUUGAUGCAUGAAUCAGCCCAGGCUUCAACAAGGGCACAGCCUUUGCAUUAAGGAGCACCUCUGAGUUUUGAGCUGUGAGAACCUGUAUGUAUAAGCACCUAGGCAUGCAGCAAGGCUUCCAGUGCAAAUGGUGUGGGAAGGACACACACAACGGACAGCCGAGUUUCGUUUGGGAACACUUUCUAUCUUGGCUUUCAAUUUGAGAGCCCAUUUCAGUUCCUGUAGGAAUUCCCAUUGGCUCUAGAUAGGCCCUAAAAGAAUAAUCCUGCCUUUUUGUGGUGGUGCAGCUCAUAUGCUACUGCCUCCAAGCUCAAAUAAAAGCAAAUUGUGAGGAGAAAGGUUCUGCAACACAUCAGCCAAGGGGGGCCAAAGAAACAUGCCAUAUCCAUUAAGAAUAUAUUAGGUAACUGUUACCACUAGAAAACAGGAGGACCUGGUGCUACACAAUGUUUUCGGUGAUGUGUUUUCUCCUGACACAGAAUUAAAUUUAGCUCAGAAAGAUUGAUGUACACUUUCGAAACAUAUUACAAUACACUAUCUACGUUCUUCCUUUGCAUUCCUAGCAUACAUAAUAAGAUGAGCUCGCAAUUAUCAGUUCUGAAGACAGGAAAGAAAAAUAUUACUUCUAAAGAUACAGAAUAUCAGAAGGUUCUUUUCCUGGAAGGUAAUUUGUUUCCAGAACUAUCCUACACCCCAACUCCCACAGGAAUAGCAGGACUAACUUCAAAGGCUUGGGUGUCACACUGGAAGAGUUGUUACUAAUGGAAAGCCCCUAGAGCUGAGGUAACAGCUUAGGAAGGUGGCUCCCCACAUCUCUUUAAGUGAUAACCAUGAAUCUGCCUUAUAAAAGAUUCCAAGAGCUAUGAUGGUAAGCAGGGAUGCUUUAUUUAUUUAUUCAGGUUAUUUAAAUUCUCAUUAGCAACUUGAGAGCAUUGGAGGACAAAGAAGAAAAUGAAGUCUAUGCCUCAGCCAGCAAAUCCAAGUGCCUGACACAAACAACUUCCACACCUGUAUUAAGGUGUAGGCAAGUCAUGUAGAGCAGCUGGAUGUCACACAUCUGACUCGUUCUGGGAUCCUGAAACAUCCUGAAAGUGGGCUGCCAGCAGGAUGGGCUGCAUCCUUGUGGUAACAGCAGGAAGAACUCUGAAAUAGCACUCCACAGUGUCUAGUCAUGCACAUACACUAUAAAUACAUGUGAAAAUGAAUUUAUUCUUAAUGUUUCAACUGCAUCAACUUACUAUGAUUCAGCUCUUGGUAUUCAAAGCAUGAAGAUGAGUCGUCUUAUUCUUUUAUUUUUCAGUUAUGACAGUGAUUGUUACCCUGACAAGGCUCACAAAAUUCUAUCACCAAACAUCAGGUAUUUAUGGCAGCAAAACACAAUUGUAUGUUAAGGAAUGCUGUCUAUUCCCCUAAUAUUUUAGCAAGUUAUUGCUGAAGUGAAAUACAUUUCUGAAGCUUGGACAGGAUACUUCUGGAAAAAUUACUUGUUUCCCUCAAGAACGUCUAUGGAGAUUGAUAUUGCACAGUAUUUUCUUUGAAGAGAACAGGUGUGGCAUCAUCCAUGUCUUUAUUUCCUGGACACUGGGAGGAAAUAAUUGUGAUUCAGCUCCUGAAGCACUCACUGUGAGCUAAGACAAGCGCAGGAGCUGGGCUCGAUGAUCCUUGUGGAUCCCCUCCAACUCGGGCUCUUCUAUGAUGACAAGAAACACCUCAUUUAGCAAAGCCACCGCAGCCCAAUUUCUUAUCUAUCACAUUGCCUUGCCUCUGUGGUAUACUGGGGAACACGAGAGCAGCCCCACUGAAAUACUGUGAGGCGCUGAUGAUGACGUGUGUCACGUAUUGAUGGCUGUAAGUCCCCAUUUACAUUAAUAGAGCAUGAGGGCACUCCCUGGGCAUCUGUAAUUAAAAUUGUUGUCUUGAGGACCUCUGUGUUUACGGCAGAAUUCUCAUUUAUGCUAUGAGAAGGGUGCCCCAAACCCGGCACUCUGCCUGGAGCCCCUUUGUGUUUGUGGCAGUCAGUGUGAGGGGCGCAAGGACACUACUGAGCGUCCAAAAUCCGGCAUUCUGCCUGUGUUUUCGGCAGAUUAAACAGAUUCUUCUUCAGAGGAAACAACUCCACGAGCACAACUGAAGUUUAUUUCCUGCGCCUUCAGUGCGUUACACGCUGAUAAAAUCGAACAAAACGCUUCCCCCGGCCUUCUUCUUCCAGCCGGGCCCUUCAGCAGAGCAGCCAACGCACCCGCGGCCCUCGCCCUGCCCCUUCCCACCCCCAGCAGAACGCCGCUCAGCUUCGCCCUUUUCCCCGCGGCGGAGCUGAGGCCGCUCGGUUUUCUCGCGCUUUCCACACGCACACGCAGGGGUCUCCCGCCCGCAGGCUGCCGGGGCCCACAGGCCUCAGCGCGCCCUCCCCGCGCCCCGGCCCU
ensembl:lncRNA